UUUGUCAUGUAUAAUUGUGCCCGUCUUGCCACACUCUUUGAGAGUUACAAGUGUAGUAUGGAACAAGGUCUGUACCCCACUUUUCCUCCUGUGAGCAGUCUGGACUUCUCACUGCUACAUGAUGAGGUGAGUGUCCCUCCUGGUAGCUGGCACAAGGAGGCCUGGACUUCCCCUCCCAGCACCUUUCUCCCCAACAGGGUGAGUGGUUGUUGCUCUUCAACAGUAUCCUCCCCUUUCCGGAUCUGCUGAGCCGGACAGCAGUGCUGGACUGCACAGCCCCGGGGCUCCACAUUGCUGUACGCACAGAGAUGGUGAGGCAUAGACAACCAGGACACUCUACACUCUAUUCUUUAUUCUGGCCUGGGGCACAAGAGCAAAGAGAUGGGCCAGUGACUCAGUCUCUGUCUCUAGAUAUGCAAGUUCCUGGUACAGCUCAGCAUGGAUUUCAGCUCCUACUACAACCGGGAGCCUCGACCACACCUCUUUGGUCAGAUGUUCGUCCGCCUGCAGCUUCUGAGAGCUGUGCGUGAGGUGCUCCAUACUGGCCUGGCUAUGCUGGGUCUCCCUCCACUGAGCCACAUUUAAGGCCACAGAGGCUCCAAUACCUGGGAAUGUUCACAAAGUCAUCAACUGGAAAAAAAGCAAAAACCCACGGCCAAAAUAAAUUGGUACUGUUUGUUACAAA
rnacentral:lncRNA from 1 species